rnacentral:rRNA from 1 species
UAAUAGCGUAUAUUAAAGUUGUUGCAGUUAAAAAGCUCGUAGUCGGAUGUCGGGCUCGGGCAGGCUGUCGGCUUCGGUCGGACGGCAGGCUCGGGUCUUUCUGCCUGAGGAUCCAUCUCAUUCACUUGGGGUGGGGACGCAGGCCGUUUACUUUGAAAAAAUUAGAGUGUUCAAAGCAGGCCUACGCUUGAAUACAUUAGCAUGGAAUAAUGGAAUAGGACUUUGGUGCUAUUUUGUUGGUUUAUGGGACCGAAGUAAUGAUUAACAGGGACAGUUGGGCCGUUUAUAUUUCGUUGUCAGAGGUGAAAUUCUUGGAUUUACGAAAGAUAAACUUCUGCGAAAGCAUUCGGCAAGGAUGUUUUCAUUGA